UGUUGUUUCGUAAGGUUUUCAAAAUUAUUAAAAUAAUAUACAAAAUACUUUUAUGUCAAUAAAUACGCCACGCAAUUGGAUCGAACUCCACGUGGUCAGGAAACGUCAGACAAUUGUUAGAACAAUUCGUAUUCUUAUAUAUCUUGCGAACAACUAUUACGCAUCCUAGUUAAACAAUUACUCCGAAAUAUCUGUAAAAAAACUGAGAGGCUUUUGCGUUCUUAGACGUGUUUGUACUUUAAUUAUUCAUUAACACGCCGCUAAUGGCUCGAACUUUCACGCGUCUCAAAUUCCGCAUAUAUAUAUAUUUAUAUCUUACAACUGUAUAUUUUCGCAUUUCGACCACAGACUCGUCAUUACCUGCUGCGUGCUCAGGUCUAGACCUAAAUAUGUUGCCGUCGACGAUUCGUUCAUGUUUCCGAUACGCUGGAAUGACGUGGGAUCUUGUGAAAGCGAUGACAGAAAAACGCGAUUUUGACAGAUGACAGCUCCGAUGCUCUUUCGACGACGUGUCUGCGAGUCGCUUCGCUGCUCGAGGAACUAAAUGCGAGCGAACGCACAGACUUGUGCGUAACCCACGUACAUCCUAGGAUGAACUUGGAUGUCGUCGUUAUAUAUUAUGCACUAUUUCGACCCCCGCCAGAAAUGAUCUUAUCGUUCUCGCAUUACGUAACGCGAUCUCUCGCCGGAUCCGCCUGGAGAUGACUUGUUAACGUGGCACUUUGACGAGGACGAACGAUAUACUGGGGAUUGAGGGUAAUAAGUUAGGUUAAGAUACAUAUCGUACUGGUUUUGACGUUUCUGGAACAGGAGCUCGGCUUGAGGUGACCGCGAGAUGAUAAUUGACGUCGCGCGAGUUAUUUUAUCGGCAGGGCUUCCGAAGCGUAUCUGCGCGCCAUCUGUAGUCACAAUCGUGCAACGCGUAUCCUAGCAACCGAUAACAGUCAAUAUGGCGGCGUGACGUUCGCGGUUGAAUUUUUCUUGUCCAGCAAAACUCUGUUAAAAAGGACAAUGUUUGACGAGGAUCCGGAAUUAGCAGAAAGUGGCGGUAGCGCAAAACGACGAGGAUGGAAAUAUGAUGGACGGUUGGAGAGGCAGAUUGUUAGCCGGUGCACGAGUUUGUUUGCGUAGUCGAGGACACGUAUGUGCUGGUGCAGGGCGGAGAACAGCUAUGCCGGGGGUGUUCUACAUGGGCGCCAAAGUUCCAAUGGAUCUCGAGCAAACCGAUGUCGCCGUUUCGAUUCCUCGGGAUCGCGCGAUCGAGGAACAGCGACGAGGGAGAAGAAGGGACGCGGCAAAUGACAUUGUUUAUCCCUCCGCACAAGAGCAAGAAGAGUCCGCCCGAAAAGUGUAUAUACGCAGAGUGGCGUCGUCGAUCGGCAAUUUGGCUUGACUCGGUCAAGCACCCUGGUGUGUACCAGCAGUUUCAACGUCCCCGUUGCCAGAACCACCCUUCCACGCGCCCCUUCCGCCGAUGUGUUCGCCACCGCUGUCGGUGCCGGGCGUCGCGCGCGCACGUCGUCGUUGACGCUCGCACGUGUGUAUACGUAUCGGCGACGAGGGUGCGCGUACAUGUCCGCCGAGUGGCGUCAGGAACCGCGUCGCCACGUUACUGGCGCGCCGCCGCUCUAUGUCGCCGCGGAUUCGCGCCGCUCCGGCCGCCCUUAGGCGAGGAGCCACACCACGACGAUGGCGACGACGACGACGACGACGACGCCGACGACGACGACGACGACGACGACGAACACAGGGGUGGCGAGAGUCCCUCGGCUCCAGUCGUCCGUAUAUUUGCAGCGCAUUCGUACACGCGCUUACAUAUUGCCCGGCGUUCGGCCGGCGUCGCGGCCAGUCGACGCUCGACGAUCGUAGGAGUCGAGUCCCCGGAGAGUUGCCGAUCGUGCACCUCCAUUGAAUAUAUACGCGAAACUUUUGGUCUUCCCUCUGGACGUCUCUCCGUUGUAGAUGAAAUCGCGCGAAGAAAAAUACGCGAUUUUUUCCAACUCCUUUUUUUCGACAUUUAAUUACCGCGUCAUGCGUGUUAAUUGAGAAACAAGGUCUUGGUUGUUUGCACGACUUUAUAUAUGCGUGCCUUGUUUUAAUCGAUGGAGUAAGGAGUACGAUAAAAUUCAGCGGUGUGUUUUACGCGAAAUCUUCCGUCGAAGAUUUCGUAAUCGGCAGCGAGUUUUGUACGCCGGCGUAGCACGUGCACGGUAUCUCGGCCAAUAGCGGAAAGUCUGCAACAGGCUCGACGAAUUCUUUUUGUUCUCAACGUCGGUAUACCUUGAGCCAGGGCCGCCCUGAUCGACAUUUAAUUGGGCCAAGACAUCGAGGCACCGAAGAAACGCGGAUAGCCCUACAGAAUUUACCGAGAGAUCUUUACCGGUUGUACAAGAGAGACGAGAGGAAGAACGAGAAACAAGCACGAUGGUCCUCGGUAGACGAGGAGCGGAGAAAAAGAUUAGGCAUCUCUACUAAGAGCAAUUGACGGUGCGAUCUUCAAAAUUUUUAUGCUACGGUCGUUGUAUCGGCGUGUUGUCGGGACGACAAGGACAGAAGGAGACGAGCCGCGCCACCGCGGCGGCGAGAGACGCGAGGCAGAGUGAGAGCGCUGCGUGUGUGCCGG